rnacentral:sRNA from 1 species
AAAAAGAAAUAGUGCAAGAAAGAUGCAAUUUGGAAAAGGAAUUAGCUAAAAACAAGGUAGACAUAAAUACAUUAACUCAUAACCUGCAGACUCUUGAAGAAGAGAAUAAGCACCUGGCAGAUCAAAUGGCUUCCCUAGAACUUCAGCAAGUCACUUCUGAUUACCAUGGGCUUGCCCAACAGAAGGUGGAAAAAGUCUUGGGAAAAAUUACUGAAAGUAAAAAUAGACUGGCCUAUGAAAACGGAAAACUCCAGAUAAAAGUUAAACAGCUAGAAGAACAAGUACAGUCUUUUACUGACACCAGCUUACAGAAUGAUCAUCUACGCAAGAUGAAUAAGUCUCUACAGACUAAAUAUGCUCAGGUGAAAUCUAUUCUUGAAAGAAGUAAAGAGGAGCUGUCCCGAACAGUGAAGUGUCGUAAUGCGGCCCUGAAAGAGAGUCAGAAGUUGAAAGAAGACCUCGAGGCUGUGGAGGACAGGGAAAACAAGAAGGUGGGAAACUUUCAGCGACAAUUGGCAGAAGCUAAAGAAGACAACUGCAAAGUCACAAUCAUGUUGGAGAAUGUGCUGGCUUCUCACAGUAAGAUGCAAGG